rnacentral:rRNA from 1 species
UUAAGAGCUUAUGGUGAAUGCCUUGGCGUCAAGUGCCGAUGAAGGACGUGGGACACUGCGAUAAGCCCCGGGAAGCCGUGUACAGGCGUUGAUCCGGGGAUUUCCGAAUAGGGAAACCAACUGUUGCGAACCAACAGUGUCCUCUUGUUGAACACAUAGACUUGAGGAUGGGAACCUGGGGAACUGAAACAUCUAAGUACCCAGAGGAAAAGAUAUUAUUCCCCCAGUAGUGGCGAGCGAACGGGGAACAGCCCAAACCAAAUCUGUUUACAGAUUCGGGGUUGUAGGACCGGCAAUACGGAAGUUACAAAACAGUCAGUUAGCGGAAAGGUGUGGGAAAGCCUGCCAAAGAGGGUAAUAGCCCCGUAUGCGAAAAUUGAUUGUCUUCCGCCGUGUUCCUGAGUACUGCCGGGCACGCUAAUCCGGCAGGAAUCUAGGGAGUCCACUCUCUAAGGCUAAAUACACUUGACGACCGAUAGUGAACUAGUACCGUGAGGGAAAGGUGAAAAGUCCCCCUGUUAGGGGAGUGAAAUAGAACCUGAAACCAUAAGCUUACAAGCAGUCGAAGGGCUACGGCAAGUUGAGCCCCCUAGAAAUAGGGAUGUUCCUUGUCAUGCCUGACGGCGUGCCUCUUGGAGAAUGAGCCUGCGAGUUAAUUUCAGUGGCGAGGUUAAGGGAGUAACACCCGAAGCCGUAGCGAAAGCGAGUCUUAAUAGGGCGUACAGUCGCUGGAAUUAGGCCCGAAACCGAGUGAGCUACCCAUGGGCAGGGUGAAGCGAGUCUAAACACUCGUGGAGGCCCGAACUCACUAACGUUGCAAAGUUAGGAGAUGACCUGUGGGUAGAGGUGAUAUGCCAAUCGAACUCGGAGAUAGCUGGUUCUCCCCGAAAUAGCUUUAGGGCUAGCGUCAUGCGUUUAGAACUGGAGGUACAGCACUGAAUGGGCUAUGGGGCUUACAGCUUACAGAACCCAAUCAAACUCGGAAUGCCAGUUCUCCAUAGCAUGGCAGUCGGACUCCGGGAGAUGAGUUUCGGGGUCGAAAGGGAAACAGCCCAGACCAUCGGCUAAGGUCCUCAAAUCUAUGCUAAGUGGGAAACGAGGUGAGGUUACUGAAACAACCAGGAGGUUGGCUUAGAAGCAGCCACCCUUUAAAAAGUGCGUAACAGCUUACUGGUCUAGUGACUUCGCGCGGAAAACUUAACGGGGCUAAGCAUAGUACCGAAGCCAUGGGUCUCAACAUUUGUUGGGGCAGUAGGGGAGCGUUCUGUCAGCGGUGAAGGUCGAUCGUAAGGGCGACUGGAGCGGACAGAAGUGAGAAUGCAGGCAUGAGUAGCGUACAAAUAUGUGAGAACCAUAUUCGCCGUAUAUCUAAGGUUUCCGACGCCAGGUCAUUCCGCGUCGGGUUAGUCGAGUCCUUAGUCGAGGCCGAGAGGCGUAGGCGAUGGACAUCCGGUCAACAUUCCGGAACCGCUAGAAAGUGCGAUGGGAGGACGCAACGAGGUAGGCCAGCCCAUUAUUGGAUUUGGGUGCGAUCCAUCUAGGCGUUGAGACUGGUAGGUAAAUCCGCCGGUUGAGCUGAGGUGAGAGCGAGCCGUAAGGCAUAAGUGGUUGAGCCUUGUUGCCAAGAAAAGUCUCUAAGCAUAACUUUCUAGUGCUCGUACCGCAAACCGACACUGGUAGAUGGGUAGAGUAUACCAAGGCGAACGGGAGAACUCUCGUUAAGGAAUUAGGCAACAUGACCCCGUAACUUCGGGAGAAGGGGUACCCUCCUUUGUGUUAAAGCUUCGGAGGGUCGCAGUGAAAUGGCUCUGGUGACUGGUUAACAAAACCACAGGUCUCUGCUAAGCCGUAAGGCGAUGUAUAGGGGCUGACGCGUGCCCAGUGCCGGAAGGUUAAAGGGAGAGGUUAGCGCAAGCGAAGCUUUGAACUGAAGCCCCGGUGAACGGCGGCCGUAACUAUAACGGUCCUAAGGUAGCGAAAUUCCUUGUCGGGUAAGUUCCGACCCGCACGAACCGCGUAACAAUUAGAGCACUGUCUCGACGAGAGACCCGGUGAAAUUGAAAUGGCUGUGAAGAUGCGGCCUACCCGCAGCAGGACAAAAAGACCCCGUGGAGCUUUACUGCAACUUGGCAUUGUAUUUGGAUAUNNUGGGCAGUUUGACUGGGGCGGUCGCCUCCUAAAAGGUAACGGAGGCGCCCAAAGGUUCCCUCAGGUGGAAUGGAAACCCACCAUAGAGUGUAAAGGCAUAAGGGAGCUUGACUGUAAGGCCAACGCGCCGAACAGAGACGAAAGUCGGGCUUAGUGAUCCCACAAUACCGAGUGGAAGGGUUGUGGCUUACCGGAUAAAAGCUACCCCGGGGAUAACAGGCUGGUGAGAUCCAAGAGUUCACAUCGACGAUCUCGCUCGGCACCUCGAUGUCGGCUCAUCGCAUCCUGGGGCUGGACAAGGUCCCAAGGGUCGGGCUGUUCGCCCGUUAAAGCGGUACGCGAGCUGGGUUCAGACCGUCGUGAGACAGGUCGGUCUCUAUCCGCUGUGGGCGUAAGGGAUUUGAAGGGAGCUGCUCCUAGUACGAGAGGACCGGAGUGGACAGACCUCUAGUGUGCCAGUUGUUCCGCCAGGAGCAUCGCUGGGUAGCCAUGUCUGGCAGAGAUAACCGCUGAAAGCAUCUAAGUGGGAAACUCGCCCUAAGAUUAGAUCCCUG